rnacentral:rRNA from 1 species
UGAGGAAUAUUGGUCAAUGGGCGAGAGCCUGAACCAGCCAAGUAGCGUGCAGGAUGACGGCCCUAUGGGUUGUAAACUGCUUUUAUGUGGGGAUAAAGUGCGUGACGUGUCAUGCAUUGCAGGUACCACAUGAAUAAGGCCCGGCUAAUUCCGUGCCAGCAGCCGCGGUAAUACGGAAGGUCCGGGCGUUAUCCGGAUUUAUUGGGUUUAAAGGGAGCGUAGGCUGUCUAUUAAGCGUGUUGUGAAAUUUACCGGCUCAACCGGUGGCUUGCAGCGCGAACUGGUCGACUUGAGUAUGCAGGAAGUAGGCGGAAUUCAUGGUGUAGCGGUGAAAUGCGUAGAUAUCAAGACGAACUCCGAUUGCGCAGGCAGCUUACUGUGGCAUAACUGACGCUGAGGUACGAAAGCGUGGGUAGCAAACAGG